rnacentral:rRNA from 1 species
GCUUACCAUGCAGUCGAGCGGGGGAAGGUAGCUUGCUACUGGACCUAGCGGCGGACGGGUGAGUAAUGCUUAGGAAUCUGCCUAUUAGUGGGGGACAACAUCUCGAAAGGGAUGCUAAUACCGCAUACGUCCUACGGGAGAAAGCAGGGGAUCUUCGGACCUUGCGCUAAUAGAUGAGCCUAAGUCGGAUUAGCUAGUUGGUGGGGUAAAGGCCUACCAAGGCGACGAUCUGUAGCGGGUCUGAGAGGAUGAUCCGCCACACUGGGACUGAGACACGGCCCAGACUCCUACGGGAGGCAGCAGUGGGGAAUAUUGGACAAUGGGGGGAACCCUGAUCCAGCCAUGCCGCGUGUGUGAAGAAGGCCUUAUGGUUGUAAAGCACUUUAAGCGAGGAGGAGGCUACUUUAGUUAAUACCUAGAGAUAGUGGACGUUACUCGCAGAAUAAGCACCGGCUAACUCUGUGCCAGCAGCCGCGGUAAUACAGAGGGUGCGAGCGUUAAUCGGAUUUACUGGGCGUAAAGCGUGCGUAGGCGGCUUAUUAAGUCGGAUGUGAAAUCCCCGAGCUUAACUUGGGAAUUGCAUUCGAUACUGGUGAGCUAGAGUAUGGGAGAGGAUGGUAGAAUUCCAGGUGUAGCGGUGAAAUGCGUAGAGAUCUGGAGGAAUACCGAUGGCGAAGCAGCCAUCUGGCCUAAUACUGACGCUGAGGUACGAAAGCAUGGGGAGCAAACAGGAUUAGAUACCCUGGUAGUCCAUGCCGUAAACGAUGUCUACUAGCCGUUGGGGCCUUUGAGGCUUUAGUGGCGCAGCUAACGCGAUAAGUAGACCGCCUGGGGAGUACGGUCGCAAGACUAAAACUCAAAGGAAUUGACGG